rnacentral:rRNA from 1 species
AAACCAACAGGGAUUGCCUUAGUAACGGCGAGUGAAGCGGCAAAAGCUCAAAUUUGAAAUCUGGCACCUCGGUGUCCGAGUUGUAAUUUGAAGAAGGUAACUUUGGAGUUGGCUCUUGUCUAUGUUCCUUGGAACAGGACGCCACAGAGGGUGAGAAUCCCGUGCGAUGAGAUGCCCAAUUCUAUGUAAAGUGCUUUCGAAGAGUCGAGUUGUUUGGGAAUGCAGCUCUAAGUGGGUGGUAAAUUCCAUCUAAAGCUAAAUAUUGGCGAGAGACCGAUAGCGAACAAGUACAGUGAUGGAAAGAUGAAAAGAACUUUGAAAAGAGAGUGAAAAAGUACGUGAAAUUGUUGAAAGGGAAGGGCUUGAGAUCAGACUUGGUAUUUUGCGAUCCCUUCCUUCUUGGUUGGGUUCCUCGCAGCUUACUGGGCCAGCAUCGGUUUGGAUGGUAGGAUAAUGACUAAGGAAUGAGGCUCUACUUCGGUGGAGUGUUAUAGCCUUGGUUGAUACUGCCUGUCUAGACCGAGGACUGCGUCUUUUGACUAGGAUGUUGGCAUAAUGAUCUUAAGCC